GAGAAGGAAAACAUGUGAUAUAGGGUAGUUUACAUUCUGCAUACUAAGCUGAGACAAGGAGGAACAAUUUCAAGAAAUUCAAGUAGAGAAGCUAUUCUUUAUCUUGAAAAAUUGAUGGUUCCCACUCCUACUAAUAGACUAAAGGCAGCCCUCUGGACAAAUGUUCCUAGCCAGCCACUCACUUUGAAGCCUCAUCUCUGGAUCCUGAUUUCAUAUGUAUAGUGGAAACUUGACUUUGACUCUGCUAAAAGGUAAUGCAACGAUCUUGAAGGAGUGGACGGUGUGGCUGGAGUGUCAGGGGCUCAGAGGAGAGAAGAAACUAUCUCAGAUACAACUCAACUCCUCUGACAUGUCUCCAUGGAGUGGAGCCUAUGGCCACUGGCCAGCCUAACUGUCCAAAAUAGAGCGAGCAUGUGAGGUUGCUCUUCAGCACUGAGAUGGAGUGAGUUCUUAACCCUCCUACAAGCUGUUGAUUAAGAGCCGCAUUUUCAAAGAAUAAGAAUUUGAUUCUGAGAAGCAAGACUAACUGUCCAAUUGGGUGGCUCAGAAUUUCCUUGGUUAUGGAAGGAAUAGAGGGGAAAAGAGAGAGAGAGAGAGAGAGAGAGAACUUGGAACAUUUGGGGCAACAUUCAGUCUUCUCUUCAUGUGCUUUUUCCCCAAGAAGGACGAUUUAAAAAAAAAAAUCAAUUGCCCAGUAGAUAGAUGGAGAGAGAGAGAAUUUU